AACGAACGCUGGCGGCAUGCCUAACACAUGCAAGUCGAACGAGACCUUCGGGUCUAGUGGCGCACGGGUGCGUAACGCGUGGGAACCUGCCCUUAGGUUCGGAAUAACUCCCCGAAAGGGGUGCUAAUACCGGAUAAUGUCUUCGGACCAAAGAUUUAUCGCCUUUGGAUGGGCCCGCGUUGGAUUAGCUAGUUGGUAGGGUAAAAGCCUACCAAGGCGACGAUCCAUAGCUGGUCUGAGAGGAUGAUCAGCCACACUGAGACUGAGACACGGCCCAGACUCCUACGGGAGGCAGCAGUGGGGAAUAUUGGACAAUGGGCGAAAGCCUGAUCCAGCAAUGCCGCGUAAGUGAUGAAGGCCUUAGGGUUGUAAAGCUCUUUUACCCGGGAUGAUAAUGACAGUACCGGGAGAAUAAGCUCCGGCUAACUCCGUG
rnacentral:rRNA from 1 species